rnacentral:rRNA from 1 species
GACGAACGCUGGCGGCGUGCUUAACACAUGCAAGUCGAACGGAAAGGCCCUGCUUUUGUGGGGUGCUCGAGUGGCGAACGGGUGAGUAACACGUGAGUAACCUGCCCUUGACUUUGGGAUAACUUCAGGAAACUGGGGCUAAUACCGGAUAGGAGCUCCUGCUGCAUGGUGGGGGUUGGAAAGUUUCGGCCGUUGGGGAUGGACUCGCGGCUUAUCAGCUUGUUGGUGGGGUAGUGGCUUACCAAGGCUUUGACGGGUAGCCGGCCUGAGAGGGUGACCGGCCACAUUGGGACUGAGAUACGGCCCAGACUCCUGCGGGAGGCAGCAGUGGGGAAUAUUGCACAAUGGGCGGAAGCCUGAUGCAGCAACGCCGCGUGCGGGAUGACGGCCUUCGGGUUGUAAACCGCUUUCGCCUGUGACGAAGCGUGAGUGACGGUAAUGGGUAAAGAAGCACCGGCUAACUACGUG